rnacentral:rRNA from 1 species
AUUGGACGCUGGCGGCAGGCUUAACACAUGCAAGCCGAGCGGGGACUUCGGUCCUAGCGGCGAACGGGUGAGGAAUGCUUGGGAAUCUGCCCAGUAGCGGGGGAUAACGUUUCGAAAGGAACGCUAAUACCGCAUACGCCCUACGGGGGAAAGGGGGGGAUCUUCGGACCUCUCACUAUUGGAUGAGCCCAAGUCGGAUUAGCUAGUUGGUGGGGUAAAGGCCUACCAAGGCGACGAUCCGUAGCUGGUCUGAGAGGAUGAUCAGCCACACUGGAACUGAGACACGGUCCAGACUCCUACGGGAGGCAGCAGUGGGGAAUAUUGGACAGUGGGCGAAAGCCUGAUCCAGCCAUGCCGCGUGUGUGAAGAAGGCCUUCGGGUUGUAAAGCACUUUAAGCGAGGAGGAAUGGCUCUGGGUUAAUACCCUUGAGCAGUGACGUUACUCGCAGAAUAAGCACCGGCUAACUCUGUGCCAGCAGCCGCCGUAACAC